CCCACCUGCUCUGGUCAGACAGGUUUGGAGACACAGGUAAAGGGAGGGAGACCAAGAGGAAUACUUGCAGAGCCAGCAGGGAGCUGGGCAGCUCCUUCCCGGACGCUGGGGACCCUCUACCUCUCUGCAGAUGGAAAGGUGACAUGACCUUGCGGUAGACCCCAGAAGUAAAGCCCCACGAUGACAGAACCCGAGACCCUGGCCCUGCUGGAAGUGAAGGGGCCCGAGGCCCUGGAGAAGAGCCCACCCCAGGCCUUGGUCCCCAAUGGCCAGAAGCUGGAAGAGGAAGCUGGGGUUGAGUCCCCUGGAGCUGAGGCCUCCAGAGUGGGGUCUUCAGCUGGGUCUCCUACAGCUGGAGAGGGGACAGAGGAUGGCCUAGACAGCACAGUAAGUGAGGCUGCCACCUUGCCCUGGGGGACUGGCCCCCAGCCCAGUGCCCCGUUCCCAGAUCCCCCUGGCUGGAGGAAAAUUGAGCUUGAGCCCCUGGAGUCAGAGCCACCCACCAAGAUAGAGGAGCUGCCCGAGGAUGACGCCAGCCUGCUGCCGGAGAAGGUGGCCCGAGCCUUCGUGCCCAUCGACCUGCAGUGCAUUGAGCAGCGGCCCCAGGAAGACCUCGUUGUGUGCUGUGAAGCCAGUGAGGGUGAGCGCGGCCGGACCUUCCUGCCCGCCCGGGCCCCCCACCCUGAGCCCCCGGCGUGCAAGUGGGCCGAGGCCGUGGUGAGGCCGCCUGGCCACUCCUGUGGGGGCUGCAGGGGCUGUGGAGGCCAUGAGGGGCUGAGGGCCGUGGCCUCGGUGGCAGCCGCCUUCAUACUCUUCCCCUGCCUGCUCUACGGGGCAUAUGCCUUCCUGCCCUUCGAUGCCCCACGCCUGCCAACCAUGAGUUCCCGCCUCAUCUACACGCUGCGCUGCGGGGUCUUCGCCACCUUCCCCAUUGUACUGGGGAUGCUGGUGUACGGGCUGAGCCUGUUGUGCUUUUCUGCCCUGCGGCCCUUUGGGGAGCCACGGCGGGAGGUGGAGAUCCACCGACGAUAUGUGGCCCAGUCAAUCCAGCUCUUCAUCCUGUACUUCUUCAACCUCGCCGUGCUUUCCACUUACCUGCCCCAAGAUACCCUCAAACUGCUCCCUCUGCUCACUGGUUUCUUUGCCAUCUCCCGGCUGAUAUACUGGCUGACCUUCGCCGUGGGCCGCUCCUUCCGAGGCUUUGGCUACAGCCUGACGUUCCUGCCCCUGCUGUCCAUGCUGGUGUGGAACUUCUACUACAUGUUCGUGGUGGAGCCCGAACGCAUGCUCACUGCCUCCGAGAGCCGCCUGGACUACCCCGACCACGCCCGCUCGGUCUCAGACUACAGGCCCCACGCCUGGGGCUGAGCUGCCCUGCCUCCUUGCUCCCAGCUCUGGUACCUGGGUGGGAUGAACCCACCUACUGCCCCGACAGGGGUCCCAUCCAGUCAGAGCCUGGACUGUCCCCUGCUCUCCCGGGUUGGGGUGCUCCCUUCACCUUUGGAGCCUGGGACAAUUAUGCGGGAGGGACUUAGACAUUCUUUCAGGGAAAGAGGUGCACAGCCGUGUUCCUAAGGAUGCUGAGGGUACAGGACCAGGAGCAGAGGCAGCCUCCUACCACUGCCACUAGGGCCCACAAUGGCAGGAUGCUGCUCUGCUCUCUCCAGCCUCCUGUGAGGCAGCUGGCAGAGCCACAGCCAAAAUUCCGACCAUGUCUAUGCCGGUUGUCUAAGCAGAGGGCCUCAAAAACAUUGGAAACGUUCCCCAUGCCUAAAGGCAAAGGCUGGGCAUCAGAUCAAACAGCACCUUCAUGUUUGGUGAAAACCUUUCAUGUUUGGGGACCUGGAUUCAGGACCCCCCAUGACUGGCCUUCAUAGGCCCUUUGGCCUCAGUCAAGUCAAUUACAGCUGCCCCCGUCCAGAGUGGCUGCCUCCUCCUUCCCACCCUUUAGGUCGCUGUAACCUUGCACCUCCAAACUGCCCAGAAGUCACACCUCUCCCACGGGAAGAGGAGCAGACAGGGAAACCUGCCUCCCAAGAGAGUUCGAAGGAAGCCCCACCUGGGUCCGCAAGAAGUUGAGGCUGGUCUCUGAGGUUCCGCGGAAAAGCAAGAUGGGGCAAGGGAGCAGCCGGCUGGGAACACUGACCCUCCAGCCUGCAGACCAGCUAGGCAGGUCCAGUGAUGUCCUUCCCUCUAGAGAGCAGGCCUCAGUUUAUGGGCUGGUAUUCUGAGUGC